AACGUACGCUGGCGGCAUGCCUAACACAUGCAAGUCGAACGAGACCUUCGGGUCUCGUGGCGCAAGGGUGCGUCACGCGUGGGAACCUGCCUCUAGGUUCGGAAUAACCCAGAGAAAUUUGAGCUAAUACCGGAUGAUGUCUUCGGCCCAAAGAUUUAUCGCCUUUAGAUGGGCCGGCGUUGGAUUAGCUAGUUGGUGGGGUAAAGGCCUACCAAGGCGACGCUCCAUAGCUGGUCGGAGAGGAUGAUCAGCCACACUGGGACUGUGACACGGCCCAGACUCCUACGGGAGGCAGCAGUUGGGAAUAUUGGACAAUUGGCGAAAGCCUGAUCCAGCAAUGCCGCGUGAGUGAUGAAGGCCUUAGGGUUGUAAAGCUCUUUUACCCGAGAUCAUAAUGACAGUUUCGGGAGUAUAUGCACCGGCUAACUCCUUG
rnacentral:rRNA from 1 species